AAUAUUUACCACUAGUGAUUUCUGGUUGAUCUUGGCGGAGGCUACUGCUAUUGGGAUUCGAUUAAGCCAUGCAAGUUGAAUGAAUUUAGAUUCAUGGCGUACGGCUCAGUAACACGUGGAUAACUUACCCUUAGGACUGGGAUAACUCUGGGAAACUGGGGAUAAUACUGGAUAUUAGGCUAUGCCUGGAAUGGUUUGCCUUUGAAAUGUUUUUUCGCCUAAGGAUAGAUCUGCGGCUGAUUAGGUCGUUGGUGGGGUAAUGGCCCACCAAGCCGAUGAUCGGUACGGGUUGUGAGAGCAAGAGCCCGGAGAUGGAACCUGAGACAAGGUUCCAGACCCUACGGGGUGCAGCAGGCGCGAAACCUCCGCAAUGUACGAAAGUGCGACGGGGGGAUCCCAAGUGUCAUGCUUUUUUGUAUGACUUUUCAUUAGUGUAAAAAGCUUUUAGAAUAAGAGCUGGGCAAGACCGGUGCCGGCCGCCGCGGUAACACCGGCAGCUCGAGUGGUAGCUGUUUUUAUUGGGCCUAAAGCGUUCGUAGCCGGUUUGAUAAGUCUUUGGUGAAAGCUUGUAGCUUAACUAUAAGAAUUGCUGGAGAUACUAUCAGACUUGAAGUCGGGAGAGGUUAGAGGUACUACCGGGGUAGGGGUGAAAUCCUAUAAUCCUGGGAGGACCACCUGUGGCGAAGGCGUCUAACUGGAACGAUCUUGACGGUGAGUAACGAAAAGCAGGGGCGCGAACCGGAUUAGAUACCCGGGUAGUCCUGGCCGUAAACGAUGUGGACUUGUUGUUGGAAUGGCUUUGAGUGUUCCGGUGCCCAAGGGAAGCU
rnacentral:rRNA from 1 species